rnacentral:lncRNA from 10 species
CCUGUCGCCGCCAUUUUAAAGUUGCACCUCGAUAGCAGCCUUACUGCCGUGAGUAGAGGAACAUGCUAGAAAGCCCCAUGGCCUGCCUCUCCAGCCUCCCGCUUCUCAAUGUGUGCCCAUCACUGAAGACCUGGCUUCCCAAAACUUUCCCAAAGGUCUGGCUUUGUUCCGGAAUAUAUCGUCUGACAAGUACAGCUCUCCCUCACAAGGUGCGGACGCCCCAGCCACGCCCAUCAUCCGUGCGGAAGAUGCAGAGGUCAUAUCGGAUACCCUUCUGUACCACACGAUUUGGGCAGUCAUAGCCGCAGCGGCAGCGGGAGUUGCACUCGUAGAUGGGCAGCCCGGCUCGAAGCCGCACCUGGCCCUGGUCAUUGUAGGCAAACUUGUGCAGUGACGCCCCCGGGCAGCAGCCUCCAGUGGGUGCCCACAGACAGUCCUGGCACUCGCAGCCCACAGCCACCUGGUUGAGGGUGAUGCCCUCACCAACACGGUACUCAUUGAUGUACACGAAGGCCCGCGGAGGGCCGUCCAGGUCCACCUCAUUCUCUACAGUGAUGCGUCCCAGAUGGCUGCGCUUGGCAUUGAGCUCCUGCUCCCAGCGACGGAGCGCCCGCCUCUGCUUGGCCUUCUGCACCAGGUAGUUGGCCAAGCUUGGGUCCAGGUGCCGGGGGGUCUUUGACCGGUGGUGCCGCCGGAGCAGCUCCCUUUCUAAGUCCUUGUGGAACUGCUUGAGGAUACGCACACACUUGAGAUUCUGCCGUGGCUCCCAGGUGCUCUCUGAGUCUGGAUAUCCACGCCAUUUCACCAGGGUCAAAGGAGAAAAUUCCCUUUGGAAACAGAUGUGGGCAGUUGGGGACAAGAGGGCAGGACACUAACUUCCUUGUGACCUGUCCCCUCCCAGAGCAUGGUCACCCCAGACUCACGCGGAUCUUCUUGUAAUCGCACAGGUACUCGACUUCAAAGUCAUAGAGGUUCCUCUUAGAGAUACCGAGGGCAGGGCAGGAGAGCUUGGCCAGGCGGCACAGGUCCUGCAGCUGAUUCCAAGAAGACUUGCAACACACGCUGCAGCCUGGAUCAAGCGGGGCAGAAAGAACUAUUACUGGGCAGCCUGACUAGGCCAGGAGUCAAAGGGGACCCCAAAUCCUCCCUGGGACAUCCCAAAGACUGACUAAGAGUCAGGGAAAUUUAAUCCACAGGCCUUCCCCAGUGCUGAGACUGUUCUACAACAGAAAUGUGCUUUGAACCCCAAUACUCACUGCCCAAAGCUGCCCCUGGAGCAGCAGACCUCUAAGCGGGGUUUGCAACAUGAAUUGUCCUAAAGGAAUCUAUUUCCAGAGCUUCAAACUCCAUGUCAUUCCUAAAACUGCCUGCAAACCUGCUUUGGGUUCAGGACCUGAUCACCCCUCUCUCCACUUUGCAAAAGAAAGAGAACAACCCCCCAUCUCAGUAGGAUGCAGUGCCCCGAGGUGGGGCGGAUGGGAGGACAAGAUUAAAACCUCCAGGGCACCAAACAAAGGCGUAACUGGAAAGACUGGUCUUUAAUCCCUUAUCUCAAACUCCUGGGCCAGAUGUGUUUUGGAAUUCAAAAUUUUUUGGAUUUUACAAGACUAGUUCUAGGAUAUCCCAUACAUCACCUAACACCCCCAGCGUGGCCAGGGGACAUCAAGCUAUAAUCAAAUGCAUUAACCGUCCUGCAGCAAAAGUAUGAAUUUCCCACAUUAAAUAGGAGAAAUAGAGAUAUAAAAUAGCCUCACAGAAGAGUUCCACUUUAUAAUCUACUUUUGCCAUAAAUGGUGCCAAAUUUAAGAAAAGGAUUUCAGUUUUCAGGGCUUUUUAGAUUUCGGAAUUAUGAGCAAGAGAUUGUGGAAUGAUACUACAUUACAGGAAGGCUCCUUAAAUGAUCAAUCUGGGUGCCUUAAAUCCACAAGGUAUAUUUUUUCACACUGCAUUUUGACUUUCUGUCUCAUCCAUCUUUCUGUGAAGAGUAAAGCUCAUCCAAAGGGUUAUGCUCUGAAUUUAUACGCAAAGCGGUACAGAUUAGUGACACUGAUUCUUUUAAAUAUACCUGGUAUAUUUCUGGGACUGCCAAAAUUUUGUAAGACACACGGAUUUUAAAAAACAGAUUUCUUUCUGAUUCAAGGCACAUUCUUAAUCAAAGUACUUUAGAAGCCAUUUUAUCAAAUCAUGUCUCAAAACAUUCCAAGGGCAGUCAGUCCUCAUCCUAUAUCAUCUUUUUAAAAUGUUUAAUAUUUUCUGCCUCCCAUUGCAAAAAUCACACCUAAACUUUAGAUGUCAACCUAAAAACGUACAAGAGCUUUUCAAAAUUAUUUCGUGUGCAAGCCCUACCCCCCCUACUUAGGCAAGACCAAGUGGAGACUGAGCCCGCCUGUGCCCACGCUUUCCUCUCCCUACAGCCUGUCCUCGCAAACCCCUUCCUUCACUUGCAUUUGAAACCCCACUUAAGUGGUCCCAAUUAACACCCUCCAGCUGCUGGCUCCGGAACUGGCCACAGGUGGACUCUCCUGAACCCCUCAGAGGUCCUCCCACUUGUGGAACCCAUCCUCCCUGCGGCUUUCGUCACAUAGAGGGGCCCCCCAACAUAACUGAGUCACCCCUCUUUCCCUGCACAUGGGGGAGUCCAGCUGUCCUAUUAGGAAGGCCCCAUUUCUCUCUUCUGGGAGAUCCUCUAUUCCAAACCCUUCCCCCAUCACGCCGAGAGGCGAUACUUUCCCCCAGAAGAGUUCUCAGUCCCCGCACUCUGAAGGGGGGGUCUGUCCCCCUUAUCUUCCCUCCCCUUCCGGCGUCUCGCGUGGACACCGAAUGGGUAACGGUCACCAGGGGCCGAUUUUCCCGCGCGCGGGCGCGGCCUCCUCGACAAGCCCCCGCGCGUGCGCGCGCCGGUCCGGCCGCGAUCUGCAGCGCGCGCCCCCCUCCUGCGUCCCCACUUAGCCCCAGGCCCGCUGCGUUCCGAGGCGCGCGCCCCCUCCCCUGAGCCCCGCCCAGCCCCGCGCACCAGGCCCGCGCUCCCCGAGCCUCAUCCUUUCCGCGCCGAGCUUCCGGCUCCCGGCGCCGGGGCCUCGGACGCCGGGGCCCCGAGCCGGCAACGCCACCCCUCCAGCCCACCCGGCCCGGCCAGCGGGCCCGCGCCUCUGCCUCCACUGCUUCACCUUUUAAAUUUUCCGCCAUCUUUCCCCACGGCUAACGACAUUCGGGCCUA